UACGAAGGGGGCUAGCGUUGUUCGGAAUCACUGGGCGUAAAGGGCGCGUAGGCGGCCGCUCAAGUCGGGGGUGAAAGCCUGUGGCUUAACCACAGAAUUGCCUUCGAUACUGCUUGGCUUGAGACCGGAAGAGGUGAGUGGAACUGCGAGUGUAGAGGUGAAAUUCGUAGAUAUUCGCAAGAACACCAGUGGCGAAGGCGGCUCACUGGUCCGGUUCUGACGCUGAGGAGCGAAAGUGUGGGGAGCGAACAGG
rnacentral:rRNA from 1 species